AGAGUUUGAUCAUGGCUCAGAUUGAACGCUGGCGGUAUGCUUAACACAUGCAAGUCGAACGGAAACGAUACUAGCUUGCUAGUAGGCGUCGAGUGGCGGACGGGUGAGUAACGCGUAGGAAUCUGCCUGAUAGUGGGGGAUAGCCCGAAGAAAUUCGGAUUAAUACCGCAUAAUCUAUUCGUAGUAAAGUGGGGGACUUUCGANCCUCACGCUAUCAGAUGAGCCUGCGUAAGAUUAGCUUGUUGGUGGGGUAAAAGCCCACCAAGGCGACGAUCUUUAGCUGGUCUGAGAGGAUGAUCAGCCACAUCGGGACUGAGACACGGCCCGAACUCCUACGGGAGNCANCAGUGGGGAAUAUUGGACAAUGGGGGCAACCCUGAUCCAGCAAUACCGCGUGUGUGAAGAAG
rnacentral:rRNA from 1 species